rnacentral:lncRNA from 1 species
CGGCAGUUGGAGGUGGAAGGUGAUACUGACGGGUGGGGCCCGCCCGUCAGUGGCUCAGGGGCGCGCGCUGGGCUGCGGCCGGGCUCGACGCGCUAAGGUAAGUGGGCCGGUUCGGCCCAUUUGGCCGGGCCGGCCGUUUCUUUUUUUUUGUUCAUUUUUUUUCUAUUUUCUGUUUUUGAAUACUACUUUUGAUUCAAAGCUCCAAAUCAAACCAAAUAAAAUGCAAAAAAAUUUGUAAAAUCAUAUCUUCAUAUGAUUUAACCUCCGGGACAAGAAUUCCCUCAAGAUAAAAUAUUUAAAAAUACUUUUUCCUAUAAACUAGCCUUUAGGGCUUUUUAGCUAUUAAAAAAUUUAGUGUUUCAAAUCCAAUUCA